CGGAGAGGAAUCCUGGCCGUCCAUUCCGCACACCAGAUAUAUAGAACACCCACUUUCUCCCCAUCGUCAGUAAUCGGCUAUCUCCACGGGAAAAAAAGAUCCCCAAUUUCAACGUUCACUCUUUCCCCAGCAGUCCACCAUAUCCUUCUUCCUACAUAGAUAUUGGGAUGGAUUCGGAUCUGGGGAAGUUGUUUAUUGGAGGGAUUUCGUGGGAGACUGACGAGGAGAAGCUGAAGGAGUACUUCAACGGCUAUGGGGAGGUGGUGCAGGCCGUCGUUAUGAGAGACAAAAUUACUGGGAAGCCUCGAGGCUUUGGAUUCGUUGUCUUUGCAGAUCCGAACGUUGUUGAUCGAGUUCUUCAGGAUACGCAUGUUAUUGACGGUCGCACGGUUGAGGCCAAAAGAGCUUUGUCAAGAGAGGAACAGCAGGUUUCAAGAGUUGGAAACUCUGGUGGUGCAAGGAACGUUGGAGGUGCUGGAAGCACUAGAACCAAGAAAAUAUUUGUUGGUGGUCUCCCACCUACUCUGAACGAGGAAGGGUUUCGUCAGUAUUUUGAAGCAUAUGGCACUGUCACUGAUGUUGUAAUAAUGUAUGAUCAACAGACUAACCGUCCUCGCGGAUUUGGUUUUGUUUCCUUUGAUUCUGAGCAAGCCGUAGAUAGGGUUUUGCACAAGACCUUCCAUGAUUUAUAUGGUAAGCAGGUGGAGGUGAAGAGAGCUCUUCCAAAAGAUGCCAAUCCUGGUGGAGCUGGGCGGUCCAUGGGUGGUGGAGGUAGUGGAGGUUAUCAGGGUUAUGGGUCAUCAGCUGGUAAUUUAGGUUCAUAUGAUGGUCGAAUGGAAUCUAGUAGAUACAUGCAUUCACAAAAUGCUGGUGGUGGGUUUCCAUCAUAUGGUUCGUCAGGGUAUAAUGCACCUGGGUAUGGUUAUGGUCCUGCCAAUAAUGGCAUGGGUUAUGGGUAUGGAAAUUAUGGAGGUGCGAACCCUGGGUAUGGUGGUCCUGCUGGAGGCUAUGGAAAUCCUAAUGCUCCUAAUGCCGGAUUCGGCGGUCCUGGUGGUGGAGGCUAUGGAAAUCCUAAUGUUCCCAAUGCUGGCUAUGGAGGUCCUCCAAAUACUCAAAGGAAUUCCUGGGGUGCACAGGCUCCAUCUGGGUAUGGCUAUGGAAGUUCUCAAUGGGGUGCCCCUGGUGGUGCUGGCGGCCCUGGUACUGGUCAGUCUCCUAGUGGGCUUUCUGGUUAUGGCAAUCAAGGCUAUGGUUAUGGUGGUUAUGGAGGGGGAAGUGAUGGAGCUUAUGGUAAUCAAUCUGCUUAUGGUGCUGUUGGUGGGCGAUCAGGAAUCAGCCCUAGUGGUAACACUCCUGCGGGAGAUCUACAUUCUGGUACUGGUGGCUAUAUGGGAGGUGGUUACGGUGAUGGGACUGGUAAUUCAGGAUAUGGAAAUUCAGGUUGGCGAUCUGAUCCAUCUCAAGUCUCUGGUAACUAUGGCGGUGGGUAUGGCAGUGGUUCAACUAGACAGGCUCAGCAGUAAUUCGUUGCUGGAGUUCGGCUAUUUUCUGUAUUGAGGCCUUUUCUGUUCGACACAUUCUCAUUUAUGGUGCAGAGCGUGGAGAUGCUCGUUGCUAAAGUUGGCGAAGUUUCCACUCAAUCUAAUCAUGGAUUUAGUGCCGCUUGCAUGUGUCAUGGGAUGGGACCAUAGAUGUGCACUUCCUGGGUUGAUAUGGUGCUUGCAUUGAAUCUAGACCCGUGGCAUUUGAGCUCGGAUAUCUUAAUUCUCAUUGAGGUAUUAGUAUGGUGAAGAGUUGAAGCCAAGAAGUUUGAUGUGUUGGUCUUCGAAUUCACUUGGUUUAGUUUGCAUGUUAUGUGAUUCAACUAACUGAAAAGUUUUUGUUAACAUAGUUUUUAAGAGAGAGAAUUAGGAUAGUACAUCAAUGCGAGGAACUUAUUUAGCAUAUAUUGAAAUAAUUAGGAAGCUUCUCUUAGAACAUGGAUAAAAGAGUACUUGAUGCCCCUUUAUUUGUUAUUUAUUCUUUUUAAUCAUUUCAUUAUGUGAAGAUAGAAUGAGUUCUAUCAUCAUGGUGGAGCCAAUGAUAGUUGAAGACGAUUACUGAGAUUGCCAUUUGUGAUAUGUCUGUUCUAGAAGGAAGUCAAAGUUUAGCAUUGACGUUUUGUUUUAAGUUGCUGUAAAGCUUGUAGUUGUGCAAUUUCAAUUGAACAUUAGUUUUAUGCAUUUAUCGUUUGGUUUCUACAUGCUCUUGGCUGUUUGUUUAAUGUGAUUGCGAAUAAUGCGUUGGUACCCGCCAGGCUGGUGAUCUUUUAUGGGCUUCAAC